rnacentral:lncRNA from 1 species
AAACCGACUGGAACGGCGCUCCGCACUACAGACCGGAAGUGAUCACCAGCCACCUUAAGGCGCCGGCCACACUGCAGCUCAGGUGGUUGAGAGGCCUCCGGCUUUGCGUCUUCAUUUAUUCCGGUCUACAACACCUAAACCUCCCUUGUCGGGCGUGGAGAACGGUUUCGAUUAUUCGGUCAGUGUGCUUAAGGAUUCCCUAAAAGUAAGCUACGCAAGAAAGCCCGACAGUGUGUGCUCAUGGCCCUUCACAGCACAGGACGGAAUAGAGGGGCUUUGGAAAAAAAGUUGGCUCCGAAAUGCUGGAGAGGAACCCACUCAAGCUCCCGUCCUACCCAUUUGCUACCAAAUUUUACAGGCACGCGUUGUGGUUUAAAAACAGUUUUAAGGAAAGCGUACUUAUGACGAAUGUCUACACAGAAAGCACUGUUUUCUCUAAUCUUCACAAUACUAUUGCCAAGAAAUACCACUAUUUACUUGGUUAGUAGGUAAGGGUUUGAGUUUUAAGAGGGAGGUAAAGAGUAGUUAAGAGCUGUCAAAGAGAAACAGGCUGGGAGAUCUUGACUACAGAUUGACUGUGUGUAUACUCCUUUACUGAAAAGAGACCCUCAUCCUUCAAACCAAGGACAAAUGCAUGCACUCUGGUGGCAAUUUAAUCUCCAGACUUUCAAGACUACUCCAAUUAAUCAUAAAUUCCUAUUUGACUUAAGGUUCGUGGAUAAUAAACACAGCCUCAAGCCAAGAUUACCUAAAUUAAAUAUCCAAUCUAACUUGUUAAUAUCGUGACUUUGAGCAUAUUGCAUUUCUUUGUAUCUCUAUCCCCUCAUCUGUCAAAUGGGCAUAAUAAUGUGUUGAUACAUGUCUAAAAUGCAAACUUACCUCACUUGUAAUCUAUCGGCAGCUCCUCCCUGUCGUCUCCAUACCCAGGUCUACAGUGUAUAGGCUGUAGCUUGGAUAAAGGCAGGACUGUUGUUCAUUUAGUUACACCUGAUCCUUUGUCUCCAGGGCACGUUUCCUUUAGAGUAAUAACGAUCCCCCUGAGAGUUGGGUUUCACAACAUAGCAAAACUAAAUAAUUUGACCCUGCUAUUUUUAGAAAAACAAUUUUAAAAGCUAACAAGCAUAAAAGUUAAUUUUUCCCGAAGAGUGAAACUUCUUAACCAAUGAAUCAAUCAUUUAGCUUCUCUGGUUUUCUUUAAUGCUUCUCUUUCUUUGCUUCGUUUUGUUGUUUUGUCUGGUGCUUGGCAUCAGAUUUGGAGCCUGAUACAAGUGAAGCUGUACCACUGAACUACAUUGCCAGGAAGACCUGCCUGACUUUAUAGGUUAAUUUUCAUAUUAUUGGUGGCAUAAUAUAUGGGAAACAGUCUGCUUUUUAGAGACUCCAUCCCAUUAUGUUUCAUUUAUUGAAGAGAGGUUUAGGAGUAGGGUUAAAAUGCUCAAACUAUAUUUUUAUGACAUCCUUUUAAUUCUCCGUAGAUUGGGGACAAGCUUUAGCUAGUUAAUAACAAAAGAGAAACUAAUAUUACUCUCUAAGGUUCACAUGUACCUCAAGUGGCUUUUGUGUCUUAUUCUUUUUUUGUUGUUUGUUUUGUUUUUUCGAGACAGGGUUUCUCUGUGUACCCCUGUCUGUCCUGAAACUCACUCUGUAGACCAGGCUGGCCUCGAACUCAGAAAUCCGCCUGCCUCUGCCUCCCAAGUGCUAGGAUUAAAGGCGUGUGCCACCACCGCCCGGCAUGUCUUAUUCCUAACCCAAAUCUAUUCUUCUUUAUAUAUGAACAUCACCACCAGCCUCAAAUUUGAUUGGAUCACAGUCUUCUGUGUUUGUUUCUUCUCCCUAGCUGCCAAUCUCAGUGUUGUUUGUCCUGAAACUGUUGCCCAGCUUCUCAGCUGUACAUAGAGCCUCUUUAUCACAGGCUUCAGCUAGAGGUGACUACUAAUUCUCUAUUCAUAUUUUGUAUUAACUAGUUUUUAUUUGCCCAGACAGACUUUACCUAUAUCCCAGGCUGAUCAUGAACUUGGGCAGAUCUUCUGCCUCAGCUUCCCAAGGGAUUACAGGUGUGUGAAGUAGAAACUUAUAGUUUCUUUGGAAAGUUAGUUAUGUCAAAUGAUGUUUUGCUGGGGCACUCAGGUGAAAGGAUGUCUUGCUAAAGCAGACAUAGAUGAAAGGAUGUUUUCCUGAAGCAGACACAGGUGAAAGGAUAUCUUGCUAUAUAGCAAACAUGUGGAAGGACCUGAGAUGAAGGAGCAUAAAUGUGACCCCACAGGUGUGAGCCACCACACUUUGCUCUGAACACGUUUUCAACAUUGUCAUUUAUGGGCUUCUGCCAUUUUUUCCAUGUACCUACUUGGAGCUUGAAAAUCUGAGUUUUCUUAUUUAUAUGAAUAUGUAGGUCCAUGAUAUUUCAGUAGUUCCCAACUUUAUUUUUAAUCUUGGGAAUUGUUUAGUUCCUUUCAGCUUUUUGAGAUUCUCUGAUAAGAUAUUGAAAUCUUUCUGUAUUUUCCUUAAACUCAUCAAAUUUCCUUUAAACAAUGAUCUCAGCAGCUCACUGGGACUUUGCCCAUGCAGGUUACUGCCUGGACAGUUUCUGGUCGAGUACUUUGAGUACUAGACAAGCUCAGGGUUCCCUAAAUGCUCUUGGUACAAGCUGGUAUGACACAUGUGCUCCCAGGGGUCAGAUACUGAGCCUGUUUGUCCUGAGGGGGAUGGUUUUCUCUGAGCUGGUUGUCACUUCCGUGUUUUAGCACUAGAUGGCGACCAGGUUCAUUCAGCUUUGCCUGUUCUCACUGUUGCUGUUUUUAGACACGAAUCAACGCCCAGAUUUGUUUCAAUACAUUUCUUGGAGUGUUGUUUAAAAGGAAAUUUGAGAUCUUGAAAUGACCUGCCCCCAAGAAAUGCUUGACUAUUAGGGUUAGAUGCCUCUUCCAUAGUCUGUGGUUAGAGUCUGCUGGAUUCUACCCUCUUCUGGGCACAGCCACCAUGGAUAGAUUCUCUUUCAUUGUGUGGUCUUUUUGCUCUGAUGAUGAUUUUCUUUGUUGUACAUAAUGGUUUUUUAAAUUAGUUUUGUAUAAUUCCAUUUGUCAGUUUUUCCUGUCUUGCAGCUGUCAACAUCUUGAGGGUUCCUCCAUGGUUUCCCAGUGGUUUCAGAACUUCAUGUCAACUUCAUGCUCAAUGACUUUCAUCCAUGUGCUGUAGGAUGAGCUGCUGGUCUCAGAGGACAAGCUCCCCACUCCCCCCUGACAGUGCAAGGAGGUCUAUGGGUUGACUCAUAGCCACCCUGCUGAGCCCAGCGUGGGCCACAGUCGUUACCACUUUUAAAAUCUGUGACCUUGGGCAUGUUCCUUCACCUCACGCUGUGCCUCAGUUUUCGUUUACAUAAUUUUUUGAGAUUAUAAUGUAAUAUGUUACUCAAUGGGGAUUAAGCCAAUUGAUGUUUAUAGCAGAUCAUAGAUAUUUGUUGAUUAAAAGCACAAUGUGAAAGC